UCGGACGUGGUGCUUGGUGAACGCCCACCGCCUAUUCGAGAAUACAAAACGAAGAGUUAAGUGGGAAAACCGGGUUCAAUUCCCGGCGUCCGAA